UGGGGAAUAUUGGACAAUGGGCGAAAGCCUGAUCCAGCCAUGCCGCGUGUGUGAAGAAGGUCUUCGGAUUGUAAAGCACUUUAAGUUGGGAGGAAGGGCAUUAACCUAAUACGUUAGUGUUUUGACGUUACCGACAGAAUAAGCACCGGCUAACUCUGUGCCAGCAGCCGCGGUAAUACAGAGGUUGCAAGCGUUAAUCGGAAUUACUGGGCGUAAAGCGCGCGUAGGUGGUUUGUUAAGUUGGAUGUGAAAUCCCCGGGCUCAACCUGGGAACUGCAUUCAAAACUGACUGACUAGAGUAUGGUAGAGGGUGGUGGAAUUUCCUGUGUAGCGGUGAAAUGCGUAGAUAUAGGAAGGAACACCAGUGGCGAAGGCGACCACCUGGACUAAUACUGACACUGAGGUGCGAAAGCGUGGGGAGCAAACA
rnacentral:rRNA from 1 species